CAGAUCGGCUAUGAGCUUGUGGCUGCGAGUGUUGCGACUGCGAUAGAGACGGUGUCACAGCGACUUAACGACCUCGGCGCCGAUGACUCUCAAGUGUGACUGCUUGUUUCCUCAUUUUUAACCUUCAAUCUUCAACUCUUCAACAGGUUCAAGUUCAAUAAUGCCCCGUGCUCCUAAAGUUGAUUCGAGAGUCGAGACUAUUUAUGUUAUUUUGAUUUUUGAGAAUUUGUUAAACUUAUUUAAGCUUAAUGUGUUAGACACUUAGAUUUAUGUUAUGGGCCAGUGUUCUUAUCAUUUUAUGUUGAUGUUGAUGUUGUUGCUGCACUGCUUAUUAGUUAAACUUACAACUUUAUGUUUGGCAGAAUGGCAGUAACCAGUAGGUUUGCAAACUUUGCAUAAUGUUAUUGCUACUGUGAGCGUGACACUUUAGUUGUUAUUACUUAUUGGUGUAAACUUGAAUUGUCUCUAUUUUUGUU